GACGAACACUGGCGGCGUGCUUAACACAUGCAAGUCGAGCGGUAAGGCCCUUUCGGGGGUACACGAGCGGCGAACGGGUGAGUAACACGUGGGUGACCUGCCCUCAGCUCUGGGAUAAGCCUGGGAAACCGGGUCUAAUACUGGAUAUGACUCCAUGACGCAUGUUGUGGGGUGGAAAGCCUUGUGCGGCUGAGGAUGGGCCCGCGGCCUAUCAGCUUGUUGGUGGGGUGANGGCCUACCAAGGCGACGACGGGUAGCCGGCCUGAGAGGGCGACCGGCCACACUGGGACUGAGACACGGCCCAGACUCCUACGGGAGGCAGCAGUGGGGAAUCUUGCGCAAUGGGCGAAAGCCUGACGCAGCGACGCCGCGUGAGGGAUGACGGCCU
rnacentral:rRNA from 1 species